GAGACAACAAAAAUGCUUAUGAGAUACCUUGCAUUCAUAGGGGGCAGAUCUGGUGCUGAAGGAGGAAGAAUAGUUGAACAGCAAGUAUUAGAGUCCAACCCGGUCUUGGAAGCAUUUGGGAAUGCCAAAACCGUGAAAAACAACAAUUCCAGUCGUUUUGGUAAAUUUGUAGAGAUCCAAUUCGAUAAGCAUGGGAAGAUCUCUGGAGUUGCAGUUCGAACAUAUCUUCUUG